UACACACCGCCCGUCACACCAUGAGAGUUUGUAACACCCGAAGCCGGUGGCGUAACCCUUUUAGGGAGCGAGCCGUCUAAGGUGGGACAAAUGAUUAGGGUGAAGUCGUAACAAGGUAGCCGUAGGAGAACCUGCGGCUGGAUCACCUCCUUUCUAAGGAA
rnacentral:rRNA from 1 species